rnacentral:rRNA from 1 species
GGUGGUAAUGCCGGAUGCUCCGGUUGGAUGCAUGUCCUUCCGGGAAAGAUUCUAUCGGUAUGGGAUGGGGUCGCGUCCUAUCAGCUUGAUGGCGGGGUAACGGCCCACCAUGGCUUCGACGGGUAGCCGGCCUGAGAGGGCGACCGGCCACAUUGGGACUGAGAUACGGCCCAGACUCCUACGGGAGGCAGCAGUGGGGAAUAUUGCACAAUGGGCGCAAGCCUGAUGCAGCGACGCCGCGUGCGGGAUGGAGGCCUUCGGGUUGUAAACCGCUUUUGAUCGGGAGCAAGCCCUUCGGGGUGAGUGUACCUUUCGAAUAAGCACCGGCUAACUACGUGCCAGCAGCCGCGGUAAUACGUAGGGUGCAAGCGUUAUCCGGAAUUAUUGGGCGUAAAGGGCUCGUAGGCGGUUCGUCGCGUCCGGUGUGAAAGCCCAUCGCUUAACGGUGGGUCUGCGCCGGGUACGGGCGGGCUGGAGUGCGGUAGGGGAGACUGGAAUUCCCGGUGUAACGGUGGAAUGUGUAGAUAUC